CAGCCGCCACGGUAAUACGUAGGGUGCAAGCGUUAAUCGGAAUUACUGGGCGUAAAGCGUGCGCAGGCGGUUAUGCAAGACAGAGGUGAAAUCCCCGGGCUCAACCUGGGAACUGCCUUUGUGACUGCAUAGCUAGAGUGCGGCAGAGGGGGAUGGAAUUCCGCGUGUAGCAGUGAAAUGCGUAGAUAUCAGGAGGAGCACCCAUGGCGAAGGCAGCAAACUGGUCCAUAUCUGACGCUGAGGCGCGAAAGCGUGGGUAGCAAACAGGAUUAGAUACCCGCGUAGUCCCUGUCUCUUAUAC
rnacentral:rRNA from 1 species